UACGUAGGGACCGAGCGUUGUCCGGAAUUAUUGGGCGUAAAGGGCUCGUAGGCGGUUUGUCACGUCGGGAGUGAAAACUCGGGGCUUAACCCCGAGCCUGCUUCCGAUACGGGCUGACUAGAGGUAUGCAGGGGAGAACGGAAUUCCUGGUGUAGCGGUGAAAUGCGCAGAUAUCAGGAGGAACACCGGUGGCGAAGGCGGUUCUCUGGGCAUUACCUGACGCUGAGGAGCGAAAGUGUGGGGAGCGAACAGG
rnacentral:rRNA from 1 species